rnacentral:lncRNA from 1 species
ACAGAAACAGAUUUCAUAUUGGAAAAAGACAAGUGCCCAAGUCUGUAAUGCCACACAAUAUCCUUUUUAUUCACUUUAUUAGUAUGUGCAUCAGUGGCUACUUCGGUAUGAUCAAUAGACAAGCUUGCAUGACUACUAGGUGCGCUAGAAAAUUCAGUAGAGGAAGGAUUACAAGGAAUUGGUAAAGUAGCAUGACAAUACAAAGGACCAGAAUUUAUAGGAAGUUAAAACAACUUGUAAAGCCCAUUGUCUGGUCUACCAAGAACCACUGACUUCUCAAUGAAGGGCCCUGUAGAGUACAUACAAUGUUGGUAAAUUGGAAUUAUAUCACCUGGUUUCUCAACUAACUUAUAAACAGAAAUGAGAUUGUGUUGAAAGCUAGGGACAUAAAGACAUUAUGAUGGGUAAGAUCAUGGGACAACGUUAAUGAAGCAAUAUUUGUUACUCUAACUUUAUAACCAUUAGGAAGAGAAAAUUAAGUAAAGAAUGGGUAGAGUCUGAAUGUCAAAGAGAAGGGACUUAUCAAAGGUCAUAUAGUCAGAUGCCCCAGACUCUAUGAUCCAAAUAGUAUUCUCUAUUUUAGUAAGUAACAAGUUCUGAACAAACCAUUCUCAAGCAACAACUUGCCAGCAAAAUUAGCAGAAGCCAAAAGAUAUGGAGUAGCAGGAGAAGCAGAAAUGUGAGACUGUUUAAGCAGAGUGAUCAACUGGGAGUAUUGAUCCUUAGUCAACCCAGGCAAAGUGUAAAGCUGCUCAGAUUCAGUAUGCAUGAUAAGACGACCAACAUUUCCAGUCUCAUCAUAGUUAACAUGGGAUUAAACCUCAACAUGUGCUACAGUUCUCCUAGGUGUAUUACUUUUAGUGAAUUUAAGAUUCUAAGGAAAACCAUGCAAUGUGUAUCACUUUUCAAUAGAAUGACCUGGUUUCUUACACUACUUGCAAAAGAUAGAAGGCCUUUGAUUGUUUGGUCUUUGAGGAUUGGAAUUCACUUACAGGGGAAGAGUGUUUGGACACUCCAGCAUUAAAGAAAGCAGAGUUAGAGUUUGAAGGAAACUGAGAAAUGGAGGAUACUUCCCAUUGUUUCUCAUCACUUAGUAGAAUCCUAUAUAAACUGUACUCAUAGAUGGAAGGGGCUUUAUCAUCAAGAUAUUGCUUCUGACUUGGAGGUAAGUCUCAUUGAGUCCCAUUAAGAAUUGGUAUACCUUCUGCUCUUCCUUAGCAUUUUUAUUUGCCCCACAUGUGCAUACAGAGAGGUGAUUAACAGAAAUGGAAGCCAUUUCAUCCCGAAGUUGUUUUAUUUUGAAAUAGGAGGCUAUGCCCGAAUGACCCUGAGAAAUGUGAGAUAAUUCCUUCUUAAGUUCAAAAAUUCUAGCAGCAUCAGCCAUACCAUCUCUUUCCUCUAACUCAUGCCAAAUGUAUUUGGCCAGUUCUAAAUACUCAAUAUUAUGAGAAAUCUCCUUGGUGAAAGAAUUGUUCAGUCAAGACACAACCAAAUCAUUACAACGUUGCCAUUGCCUGACUAGAGUGGAACCAAUAGGUGGUUUUUCAGUAAUGCUAUUUAUAAAGUCCAAUUUAUUGCGUACAGAUAGAGACAUAGAAUAUUUCGGUGCCAACUUCCAUAGCUAGAGCCAUCAAAAGGAGUGGAAAAUAGAAAGGCUCCUAAAAUAUAGGAUGGAUGUACAUAAAGAGGAUGGCACGGGUGAGUAUAGUCAUUAGGAUGAAAAGCAGUAUGACGAGAGGAAGAAAAGUUUCCUCUGUCAGCAAUAGGGAGUAGCAAUGCAGGGAGGAGUAGUCGUCAUAGCGAAUGAAAGGCAAAUCCCGCACAAUAUCAAACAGAACAACAACAACAACUUAAGAAUAACAAAAUAGCUAAUUGACUUUAUAGCUCACAAAUCUCGAUGAACAAUCAAAAAUAGACAAUGAAAGAGAUAGGGUUACCAAUAUCUUCGCGACCGAAAGGAGACGGCCUUCUAGAAGAAAUAGAAAAACCUUAAUCUUCAAAAUGAGCUCCAAUGAGAAACCCUAACACACAGAUGAACUUAGUCAGAUGGAAAUCGACGAUCAAACCCUAGAUAUCCGAACAAUUCCAAUCGACGCAGAGAUUCUCAUGAUUUGACGAAGAAUCUCACAAUUUGUGAAGCAUCUAGGACCUUCGAACCUCAAAUAGAAAGACAAAAGACAUAAUUUGAAAGGAAAAAAAUUAUCUUAGGUGCGAAAUUGAGAAGAUCUGAGUGAAGGAUUACGAGCUCAGAAUAAGAAAGGGAUUGAAGGACCAGAUUUGAUGCUUCACCCUCUGAUACCACGUUAGAAAUGCAAACUCAUGCUUGAAUUAAGCAACCAUGGCUGAAAUUUACACUUAGCUCAGAGAGAGUUCUCAAAAUAAAAUGUUCUAGAAGAAGUGCUCUUGUUGUUCUCUGUACAAAAAUGACCCGCCUAUAUCCUAA